rnacentral:rRNA from 1 species
ACUCAAAGGAAUUGACGGGGGCCCGCACAAGCGGUGGAGCAUGUGGUUUAAUUCGACGCAACGCGCAGAACCUUACCAGGGUUUGACAUCCCGCGCUAAACUCAGAGAUGGGUGGUUCCCGCAAGGGACGCGGAGACAGGUGCUGCAUGGCUGUCGUCAGCUCGUGUCGUGAGAUGUUGGGUUAAGUCCCGCAACGAGCGCAACCCUCUCCUUUAGUUGCCAUCAUUUAGUUGGGCACUCUAAAGGGACCGCCGGCGACAAGCCGGAGGAAGGUGGGGAUGACGUCAAGUCCUCAUGGCCCUUACACCCUGGGCUACACACGUGCUACAAUGGCGGUGACAGUGGGCAGCGACCACGCGAGUGGAUGCGAAUCCCAAAAAACCGUCCCAGUUCAGAUUGCACUCUGCAACUCGAGUGCAUGAAGGUGGAAUCGCUAGUAAUCGCAGAACAGCAGGCUGCGGUGAAUACGUUCCCGGGCCUUGCACACACCGCCCGU